GAUUCCAUUGAAGUGUUUUUCGUGAUUUCCCGUUUGCCUCCUCUACUUUGAAUGCAGACCUAUAACGUUGACAAAGUAUUGUUCACUUUUUCUCAGAGCCGUUAUCGCGGUCGUCGAGGUUAGUUUCUUUUCGCAAAAACAGUUUUAAGUCUCUCUCAAAUACGGAGAACCAGCUCGUGCAAAGUCUCAUCAAAAUGGCCCAUUCUGUGAUCUCAUACCAGCAGACAGAAUACGACCAGUGACGUUGGAUAAUUCCUGGAAAACCUCCGCUUUAUCAAGCCGCUUUUUGCCCUCCCGAAAAUCUUCCACGGCAGGCUCUUGCUCUCUUCCCUCUCUUCCCCUCUUCCGAGAUGCUCAUCGAUCACCGCGGUGAGAAGGGAGACAAUUCGGCCCAAAUGAAAGCUGGUCGGGGGGACGGCAGAGUGAAUUUGAGAAACCAUACCUGGACUGUCCAGAAGCCUCCUCAAGUCAAGACACCAAAUUUAAGAAGAGGAUGUUGGAGUGACCUGUGAGGAUCUGGCCUGGCUGAACUUGCUUCCCUUCUUUCCGUUUCAAGCGACAUGUCUUCCUGUCAGGUUUAUGAUGCUAUCAGCCCAUCAAUUAACUCCUUAUCCUUUUUGUCCUGGAAAACACACAUUGCACCCAGCCCAAGGAAUGUUGCUUCCCACAGGUUUAGUUGACCAAACGUACAACUCUCACAGAGACAUCUUUUUUUUUAAAGUAAAAAAAAGUACACACCGAAAAAAAGUCAAGAGGAAAGGUUGAAUGUCAUCUGCAUUGAUGGAUAGGUUCCCAUUGCUAUCCCCACAGGUUAGCAAAGGGGAAAGGCGAGAGUUCGAGGGUCGGCGGUGUGUGUGUUUGGGGUUUGGAGGGGGGGUAACUGCGGCAUUAUGGGAUACCCUCUCCACAGGCCCCUGUGGGAAGACGAAGGGAGGCAAAACAAUGGAGGCAAACCCACAUGUCUCACAUGGGGUCUGUCGGGCGCAUGUGGCAUUUGCAGGAAGCCAAGACUGCAGGGUGUGGGCUGGUCUGCAGCGAGGAUCCGAUUUCCACAUUCUUCCUAUCGCCACACCUAAAUCCUUAAUUGUCUGGCCACAGUCAAAGUAUUUUGAGACCACACCAUUGCAAGCCAAAGAGAGAGACGGAGAGAGAGAGAGAGAUUUUUUUCUCGUCUUUUUUAAACUGUAGACCUGCAUGUUUAAGUUGGUCCUGGACCAGGCCACAGUGCGUUGCGUGCAGUGUUCCUAGAGAAAAGUCAUUAUUUGGAGAAUUUUGAUAGAGGAGAAUGAGAGAGAAAAAAAGGUUUGAUAUUUCUGUUAUGUCAAAAGUGACUUCCUCACCACCCCUUUGGAAAAGAAUAAUCAUGAACAUGUGUAUCAUUACAUAUUCAUUACUUGAACUCCUUGUAAUACAGUAAUAUAUUAUAGAUCACAUGCUCAAGUAGGCUUUCAAUGAAAUCAUAAUUGGCAUGACAUAUCAGGCAUGUUGGAAUUACUAUCCAGUAUAUGGUGAUUGUUCUGUUGAUCUCUUGAUAAUGUGUGUUGGGCAGAUCCUUUGUGAAACGCACACAGUUAUCAGCAAUAUAUUUUAGCUAAUGGCAUCAUUAUCACGCCAUCGGUUUAGAAUGCUUCAUGUCAUUUGAAUUUACGGUGCGGACAGUCUAUAAAAAAAAUAGAGAGAGCAUCAUUUUCCCGGAUGUCAGGAGUUUUUCCCUACCUCGCUGCCUCCCUCUCUGUCUCACCCCAUCUCUCUCUCUCGCGGUCUUUUUUCUCUCACUCGGUCUGUCUCUCUCUCUCUCUCUCCCUCCAUUCUCUCUCCAGUUGUUUCUGAUCAA